rnacentral:lncRNA from 1 species
AGAAAUAAAACUCUUAUACAAAGUAUCAAACCACACACACAUAUCAAACUUAAGAGAUUUACAGAAAAACUUAAGAAAAUACACAACUUCCUCUAUAGCUUUCUCAAACCCCAACCAUGACACAAAGAAUGGAGAUGUUACAAUUUUCGGCCUCAGACACAGUGAAAAUUAGGAUUGUACCCCUUUGUGUGACCAAGAAAUGCUAACCCGUAACCCUAAAGCAUUCCUCUAUCAAUUAAAGGAAGCCACAAGGGUAAAAGACUCACAUGGCCUCUUUUUAAGGCACAAUUAGUAUUAGAUUUCACAAAGAAAACCAAAAAAGAACACUUCCAAUCAGAGAUUGGAAGAUUACAAAGAAGAGAAAGACGAAGAGUCUCAAAGGAACACCUCA